rnacentral:tmRNA from 1 species
UUAUAUUUUAGUGGGGGCGAAAUAGGAUCGACGAGAGCGUAAAGAUUGCUUUUUUACUCGGCAUAGUACCACCGUUAUCGGACUAAAUGAUUAGUUGCAAAUGACAACUAUGCGGAAGCACGUCACGCUGCUUGAUGCAGUGCGAAUGUUUCAAAUUAAGUCUUAAAUGUUCGCCAGA